rnacentral:misc_RNA from 1 species
CACGCACAAAGCCCUCACGGGGAAGGCACAACUAGAGUGGCACAUUGAUUUGCCAAAUUUGGCGGGAGCCUGGCAACGCUGACCCCUAAAUCUGGCAACUGAUUUAUGCAUUGCCAAACAGAAUCUUGCCGCUUUCAUUUUAUUGUUUUAGCGUCUCAACCAUUAAUUAUGCGUUACUCUAACUGUAAACUCCGGCACCAGUCAUCAUUCUUGCCUGACAUUGACCUGCCGCACAACGAAGACACUGUUGUUGGCAGAAAUCGCAGUACUCAAAUUCGGAACAAGCGCUGCUCCAGAUCUCAAGUCAGACUGCGAGCGGAUUUCAGCGAAGGCACGGUUCAGCUAACGCAACUUGGUGAAAACCCGUGCCGAGUGUUGGGCAGGCGCCUUGCAGUAGGGGAGACUGUGACGGUGUCUGACGGUGAUCAACUGGAAUUGCUUGCGGAGGAGCUGCCUUAUGUAGUUGUGUUCGGGAGGCCAUCGUCGGCUGCUGGUGCUGUCGAUUUUCCUAGUUGUGACGGAAGCCACUCCUUGAAGCGUAAAUUUGAUGAAGAGGACAUGCCGCUACCGAAAAAGCAUGUCUCAUCCGACGCUCAUGAUGAACAAGACGACCACGUGAAAGAAGUAGCUCGCAAGUUGAAACACAUGCAGAAUAGUUAUAAAAAGCAUCGCAGCUCCGAGAAGUUGACGCAACGAAGUGAAACUGACGUUGCGCGUCAACAUGCCAGUCCUGCAGCUCACCCAAACAAGAGUGGAUGGACAGAAUUGACACAGCAUCAAGUCUUGAUAUUUAAUUCAGAAAAACUUGAACACAAACCCAAGAUCGCUGCAUUUGACCUUGAUGGAACUCUAAUCACUACCAGGUCUGGCAAGGUCUUUCCUGUAAGCUCAGCUGAUUGGCGGAUACUGCUGUCAGAAACUGAGCCACGCCUGUGUAAUCUUGUAGAAGAAGGCUACAAGAUUGUUAUCAUUACUAAUCAAAGAGGUCUGGCUAAAAGCCAGAGCCAUGAAGCUGACUUCAAGAACAAGGUGGAGCAUAUCUUAAAGGCAUUGGCUGUACCAGCCCAAGUGUACGUGUCUGUUGGCCACGGCUUCUAUCGCAAACCAGCACCAGGGAUAUGGCAUCACCUGGAGUCUCAGGGAAAUGGAGGUAUCCCGGUUGAUUUGAAGGAGUCAUUUUAUGUUGGAGAUGCUGCUGGAAGACCGGCAAACUGGGAACCAAAACGCAAAAAAGAUUUUUCGUGUUCAGACAGACUGUUCGCCCUCAACAUCGGGAUUGCAUUCUACACUCCAGAAGAGUUUUUUCUGAAGCAACCUGUAGCUAAAUUUGAUCUCCCGCAAUUUGACCCUCGUGCAAUGCCAGGUCUUCCUCUUGCUGAAGUAAUAGCAUCCACAAAGCCAAGUGAAGACAAGCUCUUGAAUGGUGAUAAUCUUCCAGCGGAUCACACCGAGAUUGUGGUGCUUGUUGGGUAUCCUGCAUCUGGUAAGAGUCACUUUGCAAAGGAGUACCUUGUAUCAAAGCAGUACGCUCAUAUUAACCGUGAUAUGUUGAAGUCGGCCCAGAAGUGUGUUGAGGAAUGCGAGAAGGCACUAAGGCGGGGUCAGAGUGCUGUGAUAGACAAUACUAACCCAGAUCCUGAGAGUCGGAAAAGAACAAAUCAAAAGAAAGGAAGAUAUGCAAGGCAUCGCUACCCCAGCUGCAAGGAACCGUUUAAAGGUUUGUUGACAUAGCAAGGAAACAUGGCUGUGAGUGCAGGUGUUUUGUUAUGGAUUGCACCCUGGAAAGAGCAAAGCAUAAUAACCAGUUUCGUGAGAUAAAGCUGAAGGGACAACCCCAUGUUUCCGUCACAGACAUGGUGCUGUACAACCAUCGGCAAGU